rnacentral:tRNA from 1 species
GCAUCCUUAGUACAGUGGUUAGUACACUUGACAUGGAUAUAAGAGACAUGGGUUCAACUCCCCAUAGGACACA